rnacentral:rRNA from 1 species
GACGAACGCUGGCGGCGUGCCUAACACAUGCAAGUCGAACGGAACGUUCCUGUCUAUUUGCGGUCCUCGACUUGCCACCGGGUGAGCAACACUUGGGUACCCAAUCACUGCCCUUGGGAUAUGUUCAUGACAGUGGGGCUCAUCGCGCAUAGGAUUUAUCGCCUUUUGGUGGGCGCUGGUUAGUUUAGGUGGUUGGUGAUGGACACGCGGACCAUCAGCUUGUUGGUGGGGUAGUGGCUUACCAAGGCUAUGACGGGUAGCCGGCCGGCGAGGGUGACCGGCCACAGUGGGACUGAGAUACGGCCCAGACUCCUACGGGAGGCAGCAGUGGGGAAUAUUGCACAAUGGGCGGGAGCCUGAUGCAGCAACGCCGCGUGCGGGAUGACGGCCAUCGGGUUGUAGACCGCUUUCGCCUGUGACGAAGCGUGAGUGACGGUAAUGGGUAAAGAAGCACCGGCUAACUACGUG